rnacentral:rRNA from 1 species
AUUGAACGCUGGCGGCAGGCCUAACACAUGCAAGUCGAGCGGAUGAAGCGAGCUUGCUCCUGGAUUCAGCGGCGGACGGGUGAGUAAUGCCUAGGAAUCUGCCUGGUAGUGGGGGAUAACGUCCGGAAACGGGCGCUAGUACCGCAUACGUCCUGAGGGAGAAAGUGGGGGAUCUUCGGACCUCACGCUAUCAGAUGAGCCUAGGUCGGAUUAGCUAGUUGGUGGGGUAAAGGCCUACCAAGGCGACGAUCCGUAACUGGUCUGAGAGGAUGAUCAGUCACACUGGAACUGAGACACGGUCCAGACUCCUAAGGGAGGCAGCAGUGGGGAAUAUUGGACAAUGGGCGAAAGCCUGAUCCAGCCAUGCCGCGUGUGUGAAGAAGGUCUUCGGAUUGUAAAGCACUUUAAGUUGGGAGGAAGGGCAGUAAGUUAAUACCUUGCUGUUUUGACGGUACCAACAGAAUAAGCACCGGCUAACUUCGUG